GCUUGCUUUGGCAGAACAUAUACUAAAACUGGAACGAAUCAGAGAUGAUUAGCAUGGCCCCUGUACAAGAUUGACAACCAAAUUAGUGUAAUUACAAAAGACUGA